GCCCCCGUAGCUCAGUGGAUUAGAGCACUGGUCUUCGGAACCAGGUGUCGUGGGUUCGAAUCCUACCGGGGGCGCCA
rnacentral:tRNA from 1 species